UGGAACUAAAGAUUUGUACCGCCGCCG
rnacentral:piRNA from 1 species